rnacentral:rRNA from 1 species
UGCGCAGGCGGGCUUGUAAGUCAGUGGUGAAAUACUGCCGCUCAACGGUAGAACUGCCAUUGAUACUGCAAGUCUUGAAUAUGGUUGAGGUAGGCGGAAUGUGUCGGGUAGCGGUGAAAUGCAUAGAUAUGACACAGAACGCCAAUUGCGAAGGCAGCUUACUAAGCCAUUAUUGACGCUGAGGCACGAAAGCGUGGGGAGCGAACAGGAUUAGAUACCCUGGUAGUCC